AUCAUUUCUCAUCAACCUGGAAGUGUUCAGACAUUUUUGGAGCAAAGCAGUAAAGGCUUGGACGCUAUGUUGGAUUAAAUGACUAUGAAGGGCGUUGUUUUGUUAUUGAUACUAGCAUUUAUAUCACCUCUGGUCACAGAACAUGGAAGAAUCGAUGAGAGUAUACAUGAAGACUCAGCUAUUUCAGGCAAGACCAUACCAAGGAAAAUUCACAACUGGAUCAGAUUUGACGGAGAGUGGUACAACUGCGACUUGGAACGUAAUAUUGAUUCUCAUGGUGUGUUCUGUAGCUGCCCGUUUCUAGCAUGCACUGGACACCCGCUCUGCACUGGCUUAAUGCAGUGCGAAAUAUCCAAAAGUUAUUAUUAUUUAGACAUCGAGAGAAAAGAUUGUAAAUGCCGUAGAUUUUAUUAAAUGCGUGAAACAAAGGGGCUUGAAAACAAAAAACUGUUGAAAACGGAAAGACCAGAAUAGAAGUGGAAAAAUUUAACGAAGCAACAAGGCUAGUAAGAUCUGUAUGCCAUUACAAACUUUCAAUGGUUUUCAUUUUUAAGAAUCUACAGCGCUAGCAAAACUUUCAUGUUACAUGCUAUUCGUAUCGGCAAUUUCAAUGGGUUAGGGUUGUCACAUGUAUCCCAAACAGUGUUUCAAAGCUCUGCCAUAAAUUCUUGUCAAAUGUACCGCAAACCAAUGGAACAAGCAUGCCCAAGGCAACUACCACAUUUUUAUUCACUCUAUUCAGGUAGAAGAGAAAGAGCAACAAAAAAAAAAAAAAAAAAAAAAAAAAAAAAAAAA